AUUGAACGCUGGCGGCAUGCUUUACACAUGCAAGUCGAACGGCAGCACGGGCUUCGGCCUGGUGGCGAGUGGCGAACGGGUGAGUAAUGCGUCGGAACGUGCCGAGUAAUGGGGGAUAACGCAUCGAAAGGUGUGCUAAUACCGCAUACGCUCUGAGGAGGAAAGCGGGGGACCUUCGGGCCUCGCGUUAUUCGAGCGGCCGACGUCUGAUUAGCUAGUUGGUGGGGUAAAGGCUCACCAAGGCGACGAUCAGUAGCGGGUCUGAGAGGAUGAUCCGCCACACUGGUACUGAGACACGGACCAGACUCCUACGGGAGGCAGCAGUGAGGAAUAGUGGUCAAUGUACGCAAGUCUGAACCAGCCAAGUAGCGUGAAGGAUGAAGGUUCUAUGGAUUGUAAACUUCUUUUAUAUGGGAAUAAAACCACUUACGUGUAGGUGUCUGUAUGUACCAUAUGAAUAAGGACCGGCUAGCUCCGUGCCAGCAGCCGCCGUAAUAC
rnacentral:rRNA from 1 species